GACGUAGGGCGCAAGCGUUGUCCGGAUUUAUUGGGCGUAAAGAGCUCGUAGGCGGCCUGUCGCGUCGACCGUGAAAACCCGCAGCUCAACUGCGGGCUUGCGGUCGAUACGGGCAGGCUCGAGUUCGGUAGGGGAGACUGGAAUUCCUGGUGUAGCGGUGAAAUGCGCAGAUAUCAGGAGGAACACCGGUGGCGAAGGCGGGUCUCUGGGCCGAUACUGACGCUGAGGAGCGAAAGCCAGGGGAGCAAACGGG
rnacentral:rRNA from 1 species